rnacentral:rRNA from 1 species
AGAGUUUGAUCCUGGCUCAGGAUGAACGCUAGCGGCGGGCCUAAUACAUGCAAGUCGAACGAAGUCAUUGGUGAAGUCUGAUGGUGUAGUGGCGCACGGGUGAGUAACACGUGGGUAACCUACCCUGAAGAGGGGGAUAACCACUAGAAAGGGUGGCUAAUACCCCAUAUGCUCACGGGGUUUGGAAAACCCGUGAGUUAAGCUCCGGCGCUUUGGGAGGGGCCCGCGUGACAUCAGCUAGUUGGUGAGGUAACGGCUCACCAAGGCUAUGAUGGCUAGCGGGUCUGAGAGGACUUUCCGCCACACUGGUACUGAGACACGGACCAGACUCCUACGGGAGGCAGCAGUAAGGAAUAUUGCACAAUGGGCGCAAGCCUGAUGCAGCAACGCCGCGUGGGCGAUGAAGGCCUUCGGGUCGUAAAGCCCUUUUCUGUGGGAAGAGGAAGGACGGUACCCCAGGAAUAAGUCUCGGCUAACUACGUGCCAGCAGCCGCGGUAAAACGUAGGAGGCGAGCGUUAUCCGGAUUCACUGGGCGUAAAGCGCGUGUAGGCGGUCUCGCAAGUUGGGCGUGAAAGCUCCCGGCUUAACUGGGAGAGGUCGUUCAAAACUGCGAGACUAGAGGGCAGAAGAGGGAGGCGGAAUUCCUAAUGUAGCGGUGGAAUGCUCAGAUAUUAGGAAGAACACCAGUGGCGAAGGCGGCCUCCUGGUCUGGCCCUGACGCUGAGACGCGAAAGCUAGGGGAGCGAACGGGCUUAGAUACCCCGGUAGUCCUAGCUGUAAACGGUGGAUACUAAGUAUUAGGGGGUAAGACCCUUAGUGCCGAAGCAAACGCGAUAAGUAUCCCGCCUGGGGACUACGGCCGCAAGGUUAAAACUCAAAGGAAUUGACGGGGGCCCGCACAAGCAGCGGAGCGUGUGGUUUAAUUCGAUGCAACACGAAGAACCUUACCUGGGCUUGACAUGUACGUAGUAGUGAAGCGAAAGCGGAACGACCCUUCGGGGAGCGUACACAGGUGCUGCAUGGCUGUCGUCAGCUCGUGCCGUGAGGUGUUAGGUUAAGUCCUACAACGAGCGCAACCCUUGCCGCUAGUUAUAUGUGUCUAGCGGGACUGCCGGUAUAUAACCGGAGGAAGGUGGGGAUGACGUCAAGUCAGCAUGGCCUUUAUGUCCAGGGCUACACACACGCUACAAUGGUCGGUACAAUGGGUAGCGAAGCCGCGAGGCGGAGCCAAUCCUAAAAAGCCGAUCUCAGUUCGGAUUGCAGGCUGCAACCCGCCUGCAUGAAGUCGGAGUUGCUAGUAACCGCAGGUCAGCAAUACUGCGGUGAAUACGUUCCCGGGCCUUGUACACACCGCCCGUCACGUCAUGGAAGCUGGCAAUACCUAAAGUCGGUGAGCUAACCGCAAGGGGGCAACCGCCUAAGGUAGGGCUAGUGACUGGGACGAAGUCGUAACAAGGUAGCC